rnacentral:rRNA from 1 species
CACGUAGUUAGCCGGUGCUUAUUCUUCCGGUACCGUCAUCGACCCCGGGUAUUAGCCAGGGCCAUUUCUUUCCGGACAAAAGUGCUUUACAACCCGAAGGCCUUCUUCACACACGCGGCAUUGCUGGAUCAGGGUUGCCCCCAUUGUCCAAAAUUCCCCACUGCUGCCUCCCGUAGGAGUCUGGGCCGUGUCUCAGUCCCAGUGUGGCUGAUCGUCCUCUCAGACCAGCUACUGAUCGUCGCCUUGGUGAGCUUUUACCCCACCAACUAGCUAAUCAGACAUCGGCCGCUCCUAUUGCGCGAGGCCUUUCGGUCCCCCGCUUUCACCCUCAGGUCGUAUGCGGUAUUAGCUAAUCUUUCGACUAGUUAUCCCCCACAACAGGGCACGUUCCGAUGUAUUACUCACCCGUUCGCCACUCGCCACCAGGAUUGCUCCCGUGCUGCCGUUCGACUUGCAUGUGUAAGGCAUGCCGCCAGCGUUCAAUCUGAGCCAGGAUCAAACUCU